rnacentral:sRNA from 1 species
CUCCCCCUCUCCGUCCAGCUGCCUUUCAGGAGCUCUGCCCCUUUGGCCACGGGGCAGUCCCAGGCCCGGAUGACUUCCGAGAAGACGUGAAUGAGUGUGCAGAGAACCCUGGCGUCUGCACUAACGGCGUCUGUGUCAACACCGAUGGAUCCUUCCGCUGUGAGUGUCCCUUUGGCUACAGCCUGGACUUCACUGGCAUCAACUGUGUGGACACAGACGAGUGCUCUGUCGGCCACCCCUGUGGGCAAGGCACAUGCACCAAUGUCAUUGGAGGCUUCGAAUGUGCCUGUGCUGACGGCUUUGAGCCUGGCCCCAUGAUGACCUGCGAGGACAUCGACGAAUGCUCCCUGAACCCGCUGCUCUGUGCCUUCCGCUGCCACAAUACUGAAGGCUCCUACCUGUGCACCUGCCCAGCCGGCUACACCCUGCGGGAGGACGGGGCCAUGUGUCGAG